rnacentral:rRNA from 1 species
CCGGCACUCAUAAGGUCAGGCUGUGAUGGGGAGAGGAACUCAGUUCCUCGAGUCGUUGAUUUCACACUGCCGAGAAAAGCCUCUAGCUAGAAAGUAGGUGCCCGUACCGCAAACCGACACAGGUAGUCAAGAUGAGAAUUCUAAGGUGAGCGAGCGAACUCUCGUUAAGGAACUCGGCAAAAUGACCCCGUAACUUCGGGAGAAGGGGUGCUCUUUGGGGUUCACGCUCUGAAGAGCCGCAGUGAAUAGGCCCAAGCGACUGUUUAUCAAAAACACAGGUCUCUGCUAAACCGUAAGGUGACGUAUAGGGGCUGACGCCUGCCCGGUGCUGGAAGGUUAAGAGGAGUGGUUAGCAUUAGCGAAGCUACGAAUCGAAGCCCCAGUAAACGGCGGCCGUAACUAUAACGGUCCUAAGGUAGCGAAAUUCCUUGUCGGGUAAGUUCCGACCCGCACGAAAGGCGUAACGAUUUGGGCACUGUCUCAACGAGAGACUCGGUGAAAUCAUAGUACCGGUGAAGAUGCCGGUUACCCGCGACAGGACGGAAAGACCCCGUGGAGCUUUACUGUAGCCUGAUAUUGAAAUUCGGUACAGUUUGUACAGGAUAGGUAGGAGCCUUUGAAGCGUGAGCGCUAGCUUACGUGGAGGCAUUGGUGGGAUACUACCCUAAUUGUAUUGGAUUUCUAACUCGCAGCACUUAUCGUGUUGGAAGACAGUGUCAGGCGGGCAGUUUGACUGGGGCGGUCGCCUCCUAAAAUGUAACGGAGGCGCUCAAAGGUUCCCUCAGAAUGGUUGGAAAUCAUUCAUAGAGUGUAAAGGCAUAAGGGAGCUUGACUGCGAGACCUACAAGUCGAGCAGGGUCGAAAGACGGACUUAGUGAUCCGGUGGUUCCGCAUGGAAGGGCCAUCGCUCAACGGAUAAAAGCUACCCCGGGGAUAACAGGCUUAUCUCCCCCAAGAGUUCACAUCGACGGGGAGGUUUGGCACCUCGAUGUCGGCUCAUCGCAUCCUGGGGCUGUAGUCGGUCCCAAGGGUUGGGCUGUUCGCCCAUUAAAGCGGUACGCGAGCUGGGUUCAGAACGUCGUGAGACAGUUCGGUCCCUAUCCGUCGUGGGCGUAGGAAAUUUGAGAGGAGCUGUCCUUAGUACGAGAGGACCGGGAUGGACAUACCUCUGGUGUACCAGUUGUCGUGCCAACGGCAUAGCUGGGUAGCUAUGUAUGGACGGGAUAAGUGCUGAAAGCAUCUAAGCAUGAAGCCCCCCUCGAGAUGAGAUUUCCCAACUUCGGUUAUAAGAUCCCUCAAAGAUGAUGAGGUAGAUAGGUUCGAGGUGGAAGCGUAGCGAUACGUGGAGCUGACGAAUACUAAUCGAUCGAAGACUUAAUCAAU